AACGAACGCUGGCGGCAUGCCUAACACAUGCAAGUCGAACGAGACCUUCGGGUCUAGUGGCGCACGGGUGCGUAACGCGUGGGAACCUGCCCUUAGGUUCGGAAUAACUCUCCGAAAGGGGUGCUAAUACCGGAUAAUGUCUUCGGACCAAAGAUUUAUUGCCUUUGGAUGGGCCCGCGUUGGAUUAGCUAGUUGGUAGGGUAAAAGCCUACCAAGGCGACGAUCCAUAGCUGGUCUGAGAGGAGGAUCAGCCACACUGGGACUGAGACACGGCCCAGACUCCUACGGGAGGCAGCAGUGGGGAAUAUUGGACAAUGGGCGAAAGCCUGAUCCAGCAAUGCCGGGUGAGUGAUGAAGGCCUUAGGGUUGUAAAGCUCUUUUACCCGGGAUGAUAAUGACAGUACCGGGAGAAUAAGCUCCGGCUAACUCCGUG
rnacentral:rRNA from 1 species